rnacentral:piRNA from 1 species
UAGUGAAAAAAUAACAAGUGCGCUCA